AGUCACUCCUCUGUGUUUCCAGACAAUCCCAGCCCAGGAGUACAGAAAAGCCAUCAAGACAAGACGAGACAGUUUCCCUGGUUCCCUUUCCUGAAGUCCAGCCCCACCCAAGUCCCAGCCUGCAGGGACCACCACCAACAUAAGCGUGUGUCCCAGGCAACCUGUGACUUUCCAAGUUGUGCAACCAACAAUUGUGAGACUCAGCUUCAUAGAUAAGGACAAGGAGGCAAUCUACUCCACUGGAACAGUAGCUGGAGUUGUAGGAUGCGUUGGAUCCUUCUGGGGCACCCUGUGAUGAGAAUGUGACUCACAGAGGUCAAGUGAAAGUCAAGUCACAUGGCUAUUAAACCACACAGCAGAAUUAAAUUCUGACCUGACUUCCUCUACGGCCACCCCUUAUCUGCCUCAACAGACAGCUCUAGUAAUAAAGUUCCUUUGGCCUGGGAUUAGUCCCUCUGUCCCCAUUUCCCAUUUUGGCUCUCAUACUUCUGCUUUCUUUUUUUUUUUUUUUUUUUUUUUUU